rnacentral:rRNA from 1 species
CGCUGGCGGCGUGCCUAAUACAUGCAAGUCGAACGGCUUUUCUAUGGAAGCUUGCUUCCACUGAGAAGAUAGUGGCGAACGGGUGAGUAACACGUGGGUAACCUGCCCAUAAGAGGGGGGAUAACAUCCGGAAACGGGUGCUAAUACCGCAUAGUUUUCUUGAUCGCAUGAUUGAGAAAGGAAAGACGGCCUUUGUGCUGUCGCUUAUGGAUGGACCCGCGGCGUAUUAGUUAGUUGGUGAGGUAACGGCUCACCAAGACGAUGAUACGUAGCCGACCUGAGAGGGUGAUCGGCCACAUUGGGACUGAGACACGGCCCAAACUCCUACGGGAGGCAGCAGUAGGGAAUCUUCCGCAAUGGACGAAAGUCUGACGGAGCAACGCCGCGUGAGUGAAGAAAGGUUUUCGGAUCGUAAAACUCUGUUGUCAGAGAAGAACAAGUUGGAGAGUAACUGCUCCAGCCUUGACGGUAUCUGACCAGAAAGCCACGGCUAACUACGUGCCAGCAGCCGC